rnacentral:rRNA from 1 species
UACGUAGGGGGCAAGCGUUGUCCGGAAUUAUUGGGCGUAAAGAGCGUGUAGGCGGCCAGGUAGGUCUGGUGUGAAAACUCGAGGCUUAACCUCGAGAUGUCAUCGGAAACCAUCUGGCUAGAGUCCGGAAGAGGAGAGUGGAAUUCCUGGUGUAGCGGUGAAAUGCGCAGAUAUCAGGAAGAACACCAAUGGCGAAAGCAGCUCUCUGGGACGGUACUGACGCUGAGACGCGAAAGCGUGGGGAGCGAACAGG